rnacentral:piRNA from 1 species
AAGAGACCUAUCAAGACCUGUAUCCAGGA